UACGAAGGGGGGCUAGCGUUGCUCGGAAUCACUGGGCGUAAAGCGCACGUAGGCGGAUCUUUAAGUCAGGGGUGAAAUCCUGGAGCUCAACUCCAGAACUGCCUUUGAUACUGAGGAUCUUGAGUCCGGGAGAGGUGAGUGGAACUGCGAGUGUAGAGGUGAAAUUCGUAGAUAUUCGCAAGAACACCGGUGGCGAAGGCGGAUCUCUGGGCCUUACCUGACGCUCAGGCGCGAAAGCUAGGGGCGAAUGG
rnacentral:rRNA from 1 species